UACUCCUACGGGAGGCAGCAGUGGGGGAUAUUGCACAAUGGAGGAAACUCUGAUGCAGCGACGCCGCGUGAGUGAAGAAGUAUUUCGGUAUGUAAAGCUCUAUCAGCAGGGAAGAUGAUGACGGUACCUGACUAAGAAGCCCCGGCUAACUACGUGCCAGCAGCCGCGGUAAUACGUAGGGGGCAAGCGUUAUCCGGAUUUACUGGGUGUAAAGGGAGCGCAGGCGGUUUGGCAAGUUGAGAGUGGAAGCAGGGGGCUCAACCCCCUGACUGCUCCCAAAACUGUUAAACUUGAGUAUGGGAGAGGCAGGCGGAAUUCCUAGUGUAGCGGUGAAAUGCUUAGAUAUUAGGAAGAACACCGGUGGCGAAGGCGGCCUGCUGGACCAAAACUGACGCUGAGGCUCGAAAGCGUGGGUAGCAAACAGGAUUAGAUACCCUGGUAGUCCACGCUGUAAACGAUGAAUACUGGGUGCUGGGAGGCAUAAGCCUUUCGGUGCCGUCGCAAACGCAUUAAGUAUUCCACCUGGGGAGUACGUUCGCAAGAAUGAAACUCAAAGGAAUUGACGGA
rnacentral:rRNA from 1 species